UGAGGCUAUCAAUGUUUUGAUCUACGUGGCGAAAUUAGUCGCUAAAGACCCAAAGUUGGCGUUCGCCAAAAGGAAAGAGUAGUGGGCGAGCUUGAGUAAAGACGAACCCGAAAAUCAGGCCAGACCUGAAAAUUUAGAACAGUUGAUCGUGUUGUUGACUAGAGAAUCAGCUAGAAGGGUUGUCCAUUUUAUUAAUUACAAUAGCGACUUUAUCAGCAAGAUUCCAACCAAGGUUGUGGCUUCAGUGUCACCAUUUUUGCACUUCGCUGACUCUUCAGUGACGAGUGUCCAUAUGGAUGGAGUUCAGCGAGCUCUCGUCUCAAGCCUCAAAACUCAAGCGCACCAUUUUACUCUCUUGCUUAAGCAAGUAAACGUUUACAUCACUCAUU